GGAUAUAGCUCAGGUGGUAGAGUGCUUGCCUCACAGCACAAGGCCCUGGAUUCAAUCCCCAGUAAACCA
rnacentral:tRNA from 1 species